rnacentral:misc_RNA from 1 species
GAUGAAGAACGUAGCGAAAUGCGAUAAGUAAUGUGAAUCGCAGAAUUCAGUGAAUCAUCGAAUCUUUGAACGCACCUUGCGCCUUUUGGUAUUCCGAAAGGCACACCUGUUUGAGCGUCAUGUAUACCUCAAUCUCCAUCUUUUCUUCGGAUUGAUGGGUGACUUGGAUGUUGAGCCCUGCUGGUAUGCUAUAUCAGCUGGCUUUAAACUUAUUAGCCGGCUCUGUACUGGAUCGGUUUGACUCGACGUGAUAAUAUUAUCGUUGAGGAUGCAUGUCUCAUGCAGCCGGAAAGUAUCAAAGCAGCUUCUAGCUUGCCUUUAGUGCACUUUUACAUUUUAGACCUCAGAUCAGGUGGGACUACCCGCUGAACUUAAGCAUAUCAAUAAGCGGAGGA